UAUAAUGGAUUGAAAAUUGUAGCUGUGUUAUAUAAUGGUGGAACAGUUUUCAUAUUACAUGAAUGCGCCUAACCUGUUUGAUGAAUUUCUGCAGAGAGAUGUUUCUGAUACAACCAUUAUGCUGUCAAGAAUGGAAAUUUGGAUGAUGGGGAGUGUUUCAUGAGAUAGAGUGAAGAAUGUUGCUCACGGAUUGUGCUGUCAAGAAGAUGUCGGAACUGUUCUCGGCCCGUUUGAGGGGUUGCAGUAUAUCAGCCAGAUACGAAUGAUGUACGCGAUGAUAUUUAUCAGAGGGACGAACAGAAGGAAGCCAUCCUUUCUCGGCUCGUCCAAAGGCCAGCUAUUGCAUUCGGUUCGAAUAGAUUCCACCACUUCAGCAGAGGCUUCUGAUCUUGUGUGGAUUUUCUGUUCCUAGAGAGAGAUGUUGACAGCAAUCGGACUCCUCACGACGUGCGUUCCAUCAGUCCAUGUCAAAGCUCCAAACACGAAGUUCUCGUUGCUGCCUUUGUAGGGCGUGAAAUUUAUCACGAAAGACAUCUUUUCCCCCGUCUGUUUGAAGCUUAGUUCGUUCGGAGAGACUGAGAUGUAUGCACCAGCGGGAGAGUCUACUUCCGCCUUGUCCGAGACUCCAAUUGACGGAUAAUUGAAGUCAUACGAGGAUGCUGUGAUGUUCCUGCAGUAUGUCGUCUCACCGGUGAGGUUCUUCAGCUGACCAGGGCUUGCACCGGUGCUGCACAGGAAAUCAAUGACGUCGCUGCUGUCAAAAUCAUAAACCAAUCCGGGGUCGACUGCUGCAGCCGGAUUGACAUGGCCGGAUCCAUAAUCGAAAGACUUGAUCGCUGCAGGGCUCCACGAAGGAUGGACAGAUUUGACAAUAGCAGCAAGCGCUGAAACAUGGGGGCAGGACAUUGAAGUGCCCGAGAUUAUGUUGUAGUCGAUUGCUCUUCCAGCCGUGUUCUCAGUUGCCAAGGGAGACCACGCUGCCAGCACGUUCACGCCUGGUGCUGUUAUAUCCGGCUGAAAAUCAAAAGACGAGAACAAUGCCACCUGGGGCGCUGGUUUAGUCGGCUGAACUGUCACUGUCUGGGAUAUUCUAGCCACUGGGUUUCUGUUACAAGUUACAACAAAUAGUAAAUGAAUUGAAUGUCGAUUGCUUGAAUGAUGUUUAGAUAGACGAAAGUCGAACUUACUUGUUCGAAACCAUGUAUGCUUGAAGCUUUCCUGCUUCUUGAAUGCUGAUUACAGUGCCUGGGAUUUCAAACUGAAAUGUGAUGUCUUCAGCUAGUGGAUCGACCAGAAUUAUCCCCAUACCACCGGCUUGUUUCACCGUAGCACCCUUUUCAUUUCGUGAAUCAAGAAUUUCUUCGAGCGAGCAGACAACGAUCCUCCCCUUAACCAGAGCCGGAUCUAGCGUGUCGCUCUUACAAAAACUGGCAGAUAAAGCAGAAUCAGAGUCGCGAAGAUUCAAGAGUGGGAAUAAGGAAAGUACCUCGCGUUUGCAGAGGGAACCCCAGCCGCUGCUGCUGCACUCCCGGCCACUAAACUGUAGAAGUUGUUCAUCUGAAAAGGGUUUAUGCUAAAACCCUUCAAACAAGCAAGACUUGAUAUCAGAAGCAUGAAGAAUAACAGAUAUACAUUACUCUGUAUCUCGCGAUCCAUGGUGCUCGCUGCGACAGUGAGGAUCCACGGAGCAGCAUUGGUCACAGUUCCGGGGAGAAAGCUGUUACCAGCGGAUGCAGAAACGACUACUCCUCUCUGGAACGCGUGAAAGCUUCCAAUGGAAUUUGAAUCUCCGAAGUAGACAGACUGUGGCGGAUCUGGUCCGAGCGACAUUGAUAUAACAUCCACGCCAUCACUGACUGCAUCAUCCAUCGCGGAGAGGAUGUCCGCAUCACUGCAGAAGCCAAACCAGCAAGCCUUGUAGAUUGCCAGUCGAGCUCUUGGCGCGCCUCCUCUCGCAGUGCCUUUCCCUAUUCCGAACACGCUGAUGUUGGGAACUUCUGAGCCAGCAAUGGUGGAUGCAGUGUGCGUUCCGUGACCAUCAGAGUCUCUGGCCGACAGGAAAAAUGUCUCGUUGAACGAUUCAAGAGGCCCGACGUCUGCUACAAUUCCUUGUUUGACAGAGUGAAGUUUUCACCGGUUGAGCACACCCCCUUGAAUUUCUCGGGAACUGGAGCAAGUCCAUAGUCGUUGAAGCUCUUGGACUCGGGCCACACCCCUAAACAGUCCAUCAACGAUUGAUAGCUAUUUUCCAAGUUGGUUACACCAAGAAAUUCCCAUGAGUGUGUUGUAUGGAUGCGGCUUGUCUUGCUCUCGAACACAGACACUACUGAGUCACUCUCUGCAGUCAAAAGAAACAAAUUGUUAUCAGAACACAGAUUAUUCUUGCAAGAGAUAUUGAAUUCAGGAAUGGACAAACCUUGGAGCUUUCUUGCUUGAUCCGAGGUUAGCAUUGCGGAGAAGCCUCUGAAUGUCUUCGUAUAAUGGUGGACCGUUGCACCCUGCGCCCCCUCAAGACUGAAAAGUGAACCAGCAAAAGAGAUGUCAAUUCCAGUAUGGUUUUAGCAUAUUCGUUUUUCGGUUUCUGCUCACAGAUGGAAAAAGCUCAAAGCUUUACCUUCCCAUUACCGAGGUAAGCAUCUCAUGGUUAGCUGUGAUCACUGACUCUGAGUCCUCGAACGAGUGGUCACCCAUGUAAACUACAUAAUGCUGCAUGAUUCAAGAAAACGAGGGGAAACAUUAGUCGCGUGUAGUGCACAGGCACGACGUUGUACUGGUGCACGUAUCAGUAGUAUGAGUUCAUGCAGUUCGUACGUACCUUUCUAGUAAGACCGUCUCCAUUCGCUAGUGCGAAUCGAAACAAGAGAAGUAAGGUAAAGAGUUUCACCACAUCCAUGUUGCUAAAAUGAGUGUUUUUAGGGAGGACAAAUGGUGGUGGUGUUGUGUUGGCUAUAUGAUUGUUUGUAUAAUUUAUACACUUAGAG